rnacentral:rRNA from 1 species
AAUAGUCUUUUAAUAGGGGGCUGGAAUGAAGGGCUGGACAGAAAAUAGACUGUCUUUUUAAUAAAAAUUGAAUUUUACUUUUAAGUGAAAAGGCUUAGAUGGAUUAAGGGGACGAGAAGACCCUAUAAAGCUUUAUGGGAACAAAAGUAUAUUAGUAUAAAUAGAGGAUUAUAUUUUACUUUAGGUUCUAGUUUCAUUGGGGAGAUGUAAAUAUAAGAAAUUAACUGUUUAAAAUUUAAAAUAAUUAUGAUUAGAGAGUGAGCCUUUUUUAAGGAUUAAAAGGAGAAGUUACUUUAGGGAUAACAGCGUAAUUUUUUUUGAGAGUUCUAAUCGAUGAAUGUAGUUGCGACCUCGAUGUUGAAUUAAGAUAAAAUUUAAGGGGUAGAUUUUUUAAUGAAAAGUCUGUUCGACUUUUAAAAUCUUA